UACGAAGGGUGCAAGCGUUACUCGGAAUUACUGGGCGUAAAGCGUGCGUAGGCGGUUUGUUAAGUCCGUUGUGAAAGCCCUGGGCUCAACCUGGGAAUUGCAGUGGAUACUGGCGAGCUAGAGUGCGGUAGAGGAUGGUGGAAUUCCCGGUGUAGCGGUGAAAUGCGUAGAUAUUGGGAAGAACACCAGCGGCGAAAGCGCGCUACUGGGCCAUUACUGACACUCAUGGACGAAAGCUAGGGGAGCGAAAGGG
rnacentral:rRNA from 1 species